UACGAAGGGGGCUAGCGUUGCUCGGAAUGACUGGGCGUAAAGGGCGCGUAGGCGGCGCAGUUAGUCAGGCGUGAAAUUCCUGGGCUCAACCUGGGGACUGCGCUUGAUACGGCUGUGCUUGAGGAUGGAAGAGGCUCGCGGAAUUCCCAGUGUAGAGGUGAAAUUCGUAGAUAUUGGGAAGAACACCGGUGGCGAAGGCGGCGAGCUGGUCCAUUACUGACGCUGAGGCGCGCAGCGUGGGGGAGCAAACAGG
rnacentral:rRNA from 1 species